rnacentral:rRNA from 1 species
CUUAACACAUGCAAGUCGAGCGGGGAAAGGUAGCUUGCUACCUGACCUAGCGGCGGACGGGUGAGUAAUGCUUAGGAAUCUGCCUAUUAGUGGGGGACAACAUUCCGAAAGGAAUGCUAAUACCGCAUACGCCCUACGGGGGAAAGCAGGGGAUCUUCGGACCUUGCGCUAAUAGAUGAGCCUAAGUCAGAUUAGCUAGUUGGUGGGGUAAAGGCCUACCAAGGCGACGAUCUGUAGCGGGUCUGAGAGGAUGAUCCGCCACACUGGGACUGAGACACGGCCCAGACUCCUACGGGAGGCAGCAGUGGGGAAUAUUGGACAAUGGGCGAAAGCCUGAUCCAGCCAUGCCGCGUGUGUGAAGAAGGCCUUUUGGUUGUAAAGCACUUUAAGCGAGGAGGAGGCUACCGAGAUUAAUACUCUUGGAUAGUGGACGUUACUCGCAGAAUAAGCACCGGCUAACUCUGUGCCAGCAGCCGCGGUAAUACAGAGGGUGCGAGCGUUAAUCGGAUUUACUGGGCGUAAAGCGUGCGUAGGCGGCUUUUUAAGUCGGAUGUGAAAUCCCUGAGCUUAACUUANGAAUUUGCAUUCNAUACUGGGGAAACUAGANUAUGGGANAGGAUGNNUAAAAUUCCAGGUGUANCGGUGAAAAUGCNUAAAAGAUCUUGGAGGAAUACCCGAUGGCCNAAAGGCANCCNUNNGGCCCUAAUNCUUGACCCCUGAAGGUACGNAANGCAUGGGGGGAGCNAAACAGGAUUAANAUACCCCUGGNNNUCCCCCCUUGUAAAANCCUC